rnacentral:rRNA from 1 species
CACCGCGGUUAUACGAGGGGCCCAAAUUGACAGCCCACGGCGUAAAGAGUGGUUAUGGGAAUAGAAAACUAGAGCUAAAGGGCCCCCGGGCAGUUAAAAGCAUUCCGGCCGCUCGAACCACAGUCACGAAAGUAGCUCUAACCCCUUCCACCAGAUUCCACGACAGCUGAGAAA